rnacentral:rRNA from 1 species
UACAGAGGUGGCAAGCGUUGUUCGGAAUUACUGGGCGUAAAGGGCGCGUAGGCGGCCAUCUAAGUCAGACGUGAAAUCCCCCGGCUUAACCUGGGAACUGCGUCUGAUACUGGAAGGCUUGAGUAUGGGAGAGGGAUGUAGAAUUCCAGGUGUAGCGGUGAAAUGCGUAGAUAUCUGGAGGAAUACCGGUGGCGAAGGCGGCAUCCUGGACCAUUACUGACGCUGAGGCGCGAAAGCUA